GUAUCCCCCCCCAAAACCUAUAAAUCCUCACUGAACUAAGGCCUGGGACUCACUCUUUGGGGCCACAGUGUUGGAAACAGUUGUGAAUCCAGGCUCGAGCUUGCAAUAAAGACUCUUGUGUGAUUGCAUUUGGAUUUGGCUCCUAGAGGUCUAUUGGGGUCCCACGAAUCUGGCAUUACAUCUGGGGGCUCAUCCGGGAUCCUCCAGAUCCUAGGAUCCCAAAACUGGAGAGUCUAACACCGGUGAGUCUUAUUAUUUGUGUGUCUGUUGUCUGCUUUG
rnacentral:lncRNA from 1 species